rnacentral:rRNA from 1 species
UGAGGAAUAUUGGUCAAUGGUCGCUAGACUGAACCAGCCAAGUAGCGUGCGGGAUGAAGGCCCUCCGGGUCGUAAACCGCUUUUAGACGGGGAUAAAAGGGCGUACGUGUACGCCGUAUUGCAUGUACCGUCAGAAAAAGGACCGGCUAAUUCCGUGCCAGCAGCCGCGGUAAUACGGAAGGUCCGGGCGUUAUCCGGAUUUAUUGGGUUUAAAGGGAGCGUAGGCGGACUUUCAAGUCAGUGGUAAAAUCGUGUGGCUCAACCAUACCUCGCCAUUGAAACUGGAAGUCUGGAGUGCACACAGGGGUGCCGGAAUUCAUGGUGUAGCGGUGAAAUGCUUAGAUAUCAUGAAGAACUCCGAUCGCGAAGGCAAGUGCCCGGGGUGCAACUGAUGCUGAGGCUCGAAGGUGCAGGUAUCGAACAGGAUUAGAUACC